rnacentral:rRNA from 1 species
GACGAACGCUGGCGGCGUGCUUAACACAUGCAAGUCGAACGGAAAGGCCCUGCUUUUGUGGGGUGCUCGAGUGGCGAACGGGUGAGUAACACGUGAGUAACCUGCCCUUGACUUUGGGAUAACUUCAGGAAACUGGGGCAAAUACCGGAUAGGAGCUCCUGCUGCAUGGUGGGGGUUGGAAAGUUUCGGCGGUUGGGGAUGGACUCGCGGCUUAUCAGCUUGUUGGUGGGGUAGUGGCUUACCAAGGCUUUGACGGGUAGCCGGCCUGAGAGGGUGACCGGCCACAUUGGGACUGAGGUACGGCCCGGACUCCAACGGGAGGCAGCAGUGGGGAUUAUUGCACAAUGGGCGGAAGCCUGAUGCAGCAACGCCGCGUGCGGGAUGACGGCCUUCGGGUUGUAAACCGCUUUCGCCUGUGACGAAGCGUGAGUGACGGUAAUGGGUAAAGAAGCACCGGCUAACUACGUG